rnacentral:hammerhead_ribozyme from 1 species
GUCCAACUGAUGAGUCUUAAAUAGGACGAAACGCAUGUUUUGGAU